rnacentral:rRNA from 1 species
GACAGAGGCCUCGAGCGUUAGGCGGAAUCACUGGGCUUAAAGCGUGUGUAGGCGGAUCGUUAAGUACCUUGUGAAAUCCCACGGCUCAACCGUGGAACGGCUGGGUAUACUGGCGGCCUUGGGCCAUUCAGGGGCGACUGGAACAAGCGGUGGAGCGGUGAAAUGCGUAGAUAUCGCUUGGAACGCCGAAGGUGAAAACAGGUCGCUGGGGAUGUGCCGACGCUGAGACACGAAAGCCAGGGGAGCAAACGGG